GCAAAAUAUUUCAGAUCAAUAUGUAAAUACUCCAACUCUAAAACCAAGUAAAAUAAAUAUGCUGCAUAUGUGUAUAGUGCGUUCAUGUGUGUGUGCGCUGCGUGGUGACGUAGGCGCGUGCAUGUGUGCCCCGGUCACAGCUCCUUUCAGCAUGGCCGGAGGAGAGGUGUACUGGCAGUCGCGUGACACACACAGAUCAGACACAUAUUUCUGUGUUGCAGAUGUGCAGUAAAGAGCCAAAGACCCAGUACUGUCUCCUGC